rnacentral:rRNA from 1 species
GACGAACGCUGGCGGCGUGCUUAACACAUGCAAGUCGAACGGAAAGGCCCUGCUUUUGUGGGGUGCUCGAGUGGCGAACGGGUGAGUAACACGUGAGUAACCUGCCCUUGACUUUGGGAUAACUUCAGGAAACUGGGGCUAAUACCGGAUAGGAGCUCCUGCUGCAUGGUGGGGGUUGGAAUGUUUCGGCGGUUGGGGAUGGACUCGCGGCUUAUCAGCUUGUUGGUGGGGUAGUGGCUUACCAAGGCUUUGACGGGUAGCCGGCCUGAGAGGGUGACCGGCCACAUUGGGACUGAGAUACGGACCAGACUCCUACGGGAGGCAGCAGUGGGGAAUAUUGCACAAUGGGCGGAAGCCUGAUGCAGCAACGCCGCGUGCGGGAUGACGGCCUUCGGGUUGUAAACCGCUUUCGCCUGUGACGAAGCGUGAGUGACGGUAAUGGGUAAAGAAGCACCGGCUAACUACGUG